UACGUAGGUGGCAAGCGUUGUCCGGAAUUAUUGGGCGUAAAGCGCACGUAGGCGGACUAUUAAGUCAGGGGUGAAAUCCCGGGGCUCAACCCCGGAACUGCCUUUGAUACUGGUAGUCUCGAGUCCGGAAGAGGUGAGUGGAAUUCCGAGUGUAGAGGUGAAAUUCGUAGAUAUUCGGAGGAACACCAGUGGCGAAGGCGGCUCACUGGUCCGGUACUGACGCUGAGGUGCGAAAGCGUGGGGAGCAAACAGGG
rnacentral:rRNA from 1 species